rnacentral:misc_RNA from 1 species
UCUCCGUUGGUGAACCAGCGGAGGGAUCAUUAGAAGAAGUAACUCUCUUCAAAACCUGUGGACCUAUACCUGCUGUAACAGCGCCGUUCUUUCGGCGGGCUACCGCGGCUUACGGGCCGCCCUUUGGGCGUCUCGGCGCCUAGCUGCCCGCCGGAGGCGGCGCAACUAAACCCUUGCUGUAUUCUAAGGCCUCUGUGAUUACGAAACAAAUAAGUCAAAACUUUCAACAAUGGAUCUCUUGGUUCUGGCAUCGAUGAAGAACGCAGC